rnacentral:rRNA from 1 species
AGUUUGAUUCUGGCUCAGAUUGAACGCUGGUGGGAUGCUUUACACAUGCAAGUCGAACGGCAACACGGACUUCGGUCUGGUGGCGAGUGGCGAACGGGUGAGUAAUGUAUCGGAACGUGCUAGUAGCGGGGGAUAACUACGCAUAAGCGUAGCUAAUACCGCAUACGCCCUUCGGGGGGAAAGCGGGGGACCUUCGGGCCUCACUAUUAGAGCGGCCGAUAUCGGAUUAGCGGCUAGUUGGUGGGGUAACGGCUCGCAAGGCGACGAUCUGUAGCUGGUUUUUGAAGGAGACGACCAGCCACACUGGGAGUGAACACAGCUGAGCUCUGCAAGCCAGCAGUGAGAUUACCGGAACGUCGGGAAACCGAUCCGGCGCAUCCGCAUCACGAUGAGGCCUUCAGGGUUGUAAAGCACUUUUGGCAGGAAAAAACGGCACGGGAUAAUACCCCGUGCAACUGGCAAUGCCUGCAGAAUAAGCACCGGCUAACUACGUGCCAGCAGCCGCGGUAAUACGUAGUGCAAGCGUUAAUCGGAAUUACUGGGCGUAAAGCGUGCGCAGGCGGUUCGGAAGAAAGAUGUGAAAUCCCAGAGCUUAACUUUGGAACUGCACGCUACCGAGCUAGAGUGUGUCAGAGGAGGUGGAAUUCCGCGUGUAGCAGUGAAAUGCGUAGAUAUGCGGAGGAACACCGAUGGCGAAGGCAGCCUCCUGGGAUAACACUGACGCUCAUGCACGAAAGCGUGGGAGCAAACAGGAUUAGAUACCCUGGUAGUCCACGCCUAAACGAUGUCAACUAGCUGUUGGGGCCUUCCGGGCCUUGGUAGCGCAGCUAACGCGUGAGAUUGACCGCCUGGGGAGUACGGUCUCGCAAGAUUAAAACUCAAGGAAUUGACGGGGACCCGCACAAGCGGUGGAUGAUGUGGAUUAAUUCGAUGCAACGCGAAAAACCUUACCUACCCUUGACAUGUCUGGAAUCCCGAAGAGAUUUGGGAGUGCUCGCAAGAGAACCGGAACACAGGUGCUGCAUGGCUGUCGUCAGCUCGUGUCGUGAGAUGUUGGGUUAAGUCCCGCAACGAGCGCAACCCUUGUCAUUAGUUGCUACGAAAGACACUCUAAUGAGACUGCCGGUGACAAACCGGAGGAAGGUGGGGAUGACGUCAAGUCCUCUGGCCCUUAUGGGUAAGACUACACGUCAUACAAUGGUCGGGACAGAGGGUCGCCAACCCGCGAGGGAGCCAAUCCCAGAAACCCGAUCGUAGUCCGGAUCGCAGUCUGCAACUCGACUGCGUGAAGUCGGAAUCUUCAGUAAUCCGCGGAUCAAACAUGUCGCGGUGAAUACGUUCCCGGGUGCUUGUACACCGCCCGUCACACCAUGGGAGUGGGGUUUUACCAGAAGUAGUUAGCCUAACCGUAAGGAGGGCGAUUACCACGGUAAGUUCAUGACUGGGGUGAAGUCGUAGCUAAUUAA